rnacentral:rRNA from 1 species
CUUGGUCAUUUAGAGGAAGUAAAAGUCGUAACAAGGUUUCCGUAGGUGAACCUGCGGAAGGAUCAUUACUGAGUUAGGGUCUUCCAUAGCCCAACCUCCAACCCCUUGUAUACACUAUUGCGUUUUAUUGUUGCUUCGGUGGGCCUAAAGUGCCUACCGAAGCCCAACAAAAAUCCUAGUAACGAUGUUGUCUGAGUUGAUCAAAGCAAUAAUUAAAACUUUCAACAAUGGAUCUCUUGGUUCCCGCAUCGAUGAAGAACGCAGCGAAAUGCGAUACGUAAUGUGAAUUGCAGAAUUCAGUGAAUCAUCGAAUCUUUGAACGCACCUUGCACUCUUUGGUAUUCCGAAGAGUAUGUCUGUUUGAGUGUCAUGAAACUCUCAACCCCCUUGUUUUGUAAUGAAGCAGGCGUGGGCUUGGAUUAUGGCUGUCUGCUGGACUCUUUAACUAGAGACCGGCUCAGCUGAAAUACACGAGUAACCCAGUUUGAAUAUUAACGGUUUGACUCGGCGUAAUAGCUUUAUUUCGCUGAGGACGUUUCAUAUCAAGAUAGUGGUGCUUCUAAUGCGUCGUAGCGUCAGCUGCACACCUUUAAGCUUUAGACCUCAAAUCAGUCGGGACUACCCGCUGAACUUAAGCAUAUCAAUAAGCGGAGGA